rnacentral:rRNA from 1 species
UACGAGGGGUGCAAGCGUUGCUCGGAAUUAUUGGGCGUAAAGGGUAGGUAGGUGGUCUCAUUUGUCAGGGGUGAAAGCCUUGGGCUUAACCUAAGAAGUGCCCCUGAAACGGUGAGACUAGAGUCCUGGAGAGGGUCGUGGAAUUCCCGGUGUAGCGGUGAAAUGCGUAGAGAUCGGGAGGAACACCAGAGGCGAAGGCGGCGACCUGGACAGGUACUGACACUCAACUACGAAAGCGUGGGGAGCAAACAGG